GUCACCCUUCUACACUCUGUCCAUUCCCAUCCCACGGUGACCAUGGUGUGCUGUGUCACAAAGAGCCCUAGGACACACCUCCACAUGCCCUGGGGUCACACCCACCCCACCCAAACUGCCCCAGAUUUCGAGGAAGACAUUCCCCCAAGUGUUGAACAAAGCCAGAUAGGGACAAUAAACAAGCAGAUGCUCCUCUGCUCUGCCUGCCCAGGGCAGCAGAAGGAGCCUCCAUGGGGCUGUAGCGGGAAGGGCACCAGGGCCUUCCACAGAAGCCACCACAGCCUCUUUGGGACACGUCCCAUUGGCGGCUGUUUAUUGCAUAUAUUGCAUGUAUAUUCUUACAAAAAAAAGGCCUUAUAAAACCAUGGCUCAGGCUUGCUGCUUCAGCUAGGUGCAGCUAACAGCUAGCCUAACAAGUUCCUAUGAGAAAGGAAUUGCACCUGUGAAAAUAGAGGACCCAUAAUCAUAUGAAGCAUCUUCCCAGGAGACAAGAAUGUAAACAUCUCUUAGAGAAGAAAGUUGACUUUCACAGGACAAUUAGAUUCUUAGAGAGAUAAACUGUCAAAUUUC